rfam:Haemonchus contortus, ISE/inbred ISE, WGS project CAVP01000000 data, contig: Hcontortus_15450
GUCUCGGUAGUGUAAGGGGUAAGAACACGGUCCCCCGGAGAGAGAAGUACGGGUUCGAGUCCCGUCCGAGACU